CAUUCAGUAGCCCAGCUACUUGUUUACACCCUUGUCUUUUUGCGUACUUAUCGUUUCCUCGGCGGGCUUGCCUGCCGGUUGGACAACUUUAUAACCUUUUUAAAUCUUCAAUCAGCGUCUGAAUAAUAUACAAUAAUUA
rnacentral:misc_RNA from 2 species